UACGUAGGGUGCGAGCGUUGUCCGGAAUUAUUGGGCGUAAAGGGCUCGUAGGCGGUUUUGUCGCGUCGGGAGUGAAAACCCAGGGCUUAACUCUGGGCUUGCUUUCGAUACGGGCAGACUAGAGGCAUGCAGGGGAGAACGGAAUUCCUGGUGUAGCGGUGAAAUGCGCAGAUAUCAGGAGGAACACCGGUGGCGAAGGGCGGGAUUCUC
rnacentral:rRNA from 1 species